rnacentral:rRNA from 1 species
GACGAACGCUGGCGGCGUGCUUAACACAUGCAAGUAGAACGGAAAGGCCCUGCUUUUGUUGGGUGCUCGAGUGGCGAACGGGUGAGUAACACGUGAGUAACCUGCCCUUGACUUUGGGAUAACUUUAGGAAACUGGGGCUAAUACCGCAUAGUAGUUCAUGUUGCAUGGCGGGGGCUGGAAAGUUUCGGUGGUUGGGUUUGGACUUGGGGCUUCUCAGCUUGUUGGUGGGGUAGUGGUUUACCAAGGCCAUGGCGGGUAGCCGGCCUGGGAGGGUGACCGGCCACAUUGGGACUGGGGAGGGAGCCGGACUGAUACGGGAGGCAUGGGGGGAGGAUUGUGCGAGAUAGGCGGAGGCCGUAAGCAGCAACGCCGCGUGCGGGAGGACGGUCGUCAGGUUGUAAACCGCUUUCGCGUGGGACGAAGCGUGUGUGACGGUAAUUGAUAAGAAAGCACCGGCUAACUACGUG